rnacentral:rRNA from 1 species
AACGAACGCUGGCGGCAUGCCUAACACAUGCAAGUCGAACGAGACCUUCGGGUCUAGUGGCGCACGGGUGCGUAACGCGUGGGAACCUGCCCUUGGGUUCGGAAUAACGUCGGGAAACUGACGCUAAUACCGGAUAAUGUCUUCGGACCAAAGAUUUAUCGCCAAAGGAUGGGCCCGCGUAGGAUUAGCUAGUUGGUGGGGUAACGGCUCACCAAGGCGACGAUCCUUAGCUGGUCUUAGAGGAUGAUCAGCCACACUGGGACUGAGACACGGCCCAGACUCCUACGGGAGGCAGCAGUGGGGAAUAUUGGACAAUGGGCGAAAGCCCGAUCCAGCAAUGCCGCGUGAGUGAUGAAGGCCUUAGGGUUGUAAAGCUCUUUUACUGGGGAUGAUAAUGACAGUACCCAGAGAAUAAGCCCCGGCUAACUCCGUGCCAGCAGCCGCCGUAA